rnacentral:lncRNA from 1 species
GUUUGUUUACUCUUUUACUUGCUCUUUAAUCACUAUCCUGGGUCUGGACAGAAGUUGAGAAUUUAUGAUUUCUUUCUUUCUUUGCAGUGCAGGUGGAAUAGUGUUGCCAUCCUCUGGACCCUUGUACCUCCAGCUUGUCUGUCUGCAGUGGGCAGGCCCUUGAGGUCUACCUCAAACUCUGUGGCUGGAAAAAUGACCCAGUCUAUCUGAGCAGUGGUGAACUCCCCAGAUUGGUCUGGUCACAUCAACUAAAAUAGGACAAAAGUAGGAGACACCAAUGACCAGAUGCAUGAAGAACAAAGAAGGAGGAAAGCAGUCCUGAAAAUAGAAAUCACACCAAAAAAUAGAUGAUGAGUUGAUGAUGCCCCGAGGCCUUUGUUCAGGAACAUGCUGGCACUGUAAAGAGGAACACGACAGUACCACAUUCUUCUGUGAAGUGUGAGCGGCUUUUUCCUAAAGAAUUCUCCCUAGAGAAGGCCUUGUGGGUUGUGGCUAGCUCUGCUUUCCGUUUUUAUCCAGACGUGUUCUUUAAGAUGCAAAGCCUGAAAUCCAGAGACUCCACCUACUGCAAGUCAUAUCUCCACCAACUGAAGGACCAGCUACAAGCCCAGGGCUGUGGGUCUUCAAACAAAGCCUUAUUAACAUGCUAGUCUGCUGUCCACUGAGCCAAUGAAGCAAUUAGGAGAGCCUCUACAACUAUAAGAUGAUAACAGGUAGGACAAAGAAGGAUGUUGAGUAUUUCU